UACAGAGGUCCCAAGCGUUGUUCGGAUUCAUUGGGCGUAAAGGGUGCGUAGGUGGCGCCGUAAGUCAGGUGUGAAAUCUCGGGGCUUAACUCCGAAACUGCAUUUGAUACUGCGAUGCUUGAGGACUGGAGAGGAGACUGGAAUUACGGUGUAGCAGUGAAAUGCGUAGAGAUCGUAAGGAAGACCAGUGGCGAAGGCGGGUCUCUGGACAGUUCCUGACACUGAGGCACGAAGGCCAGGGGAGCAAACGGG
rnacentral:rRNA from 1 species